UUGUAACCAUUAUUUCUGUGAGUUUGUAAAGUGUUUAUACUUGGUGAUGUCAUAUAACAAGACCUUUAGUUCUGUGUUCAGAGGACCAGUGAUGUGUGUAAUGUUGUACAGGAGGUUUUUGUACGGCUCUAAAUCACUGUGUGAACACAUUACCACUGUGGUAACUCUGACAGUAGUAAACUGCUGCAUCUUCAGCCUGGACUCCACUGAUGGUCAGAGUGAAGUCCCUCUCAGACCCACUGCCACUGAAUCUAGCAGGAAUCCCAUCUAAUCGUUUCUUUGCAUAUUUUAUUAGGAGUUUGGGAGCUUCUCCAGGUCUCUGUUGAUACCAGAACACACCCUCAUCUCCAUCAUCCCAUCUGUGCACUUUAGGGUUGGUUGUACAGGUCAGAGUGACAGGGUCUCCUGGAGAAAAUGUCACUACAGGAGGCUGAGUCACAGUCACCUGACCUCUGGAUCCUGAAGAAGAAAAAUAUAAAUUGAUCAACGAGUAUGAAUAAGAUAUGACUUAUAUUUAAUUAUAUUUUAUGAAGGUACAUUUAUGAAUUGAGAUCCAUUUCAAUGAUUAUACAAGGUACUCAACAUGUAUUUUUCCAUUGUAAGAGUUAUAAAACAACAGACCUUUGAGACAGCAGCAGACCAGGGUCCAGAUAAAGAUGGUGAUCAGAGUCAUGGUUGCCGUCGUUUCUGUUGUGUUGAUGGACAGAUCUCAGUCCUGCAGUCUGAAACUCACAGGACUAUAAACACUCCCAGAGCACUGAAGCAUGAGCUGCCAAUGCAAAGCACCUGCUCUAUGGAAACACCCUACCUCAGGACAGAAUAAUAAACUGUAAAUAAUAAUCAUGUGAAAUGCUUUAUAUUUUUGUUGUUGACAGUAAAAUGGCACAAUUGUCAAUAUUGAUAUUUGUCGUAAAUGACAAUGUUUCACUCUGCCCAUAUGCAUUCUGUUAACAUAUGACAUCAUUGGAGUUAAAAACAUCUGGUUGGAGACAUUAAGGAGCUCAAAUCAGAGACUUCAUUAAUCAUAGUAUGCUAUAUAGGUACAUAAUGUGCUUAAUUAUUGUGGUUGUCUCACCAAGCAAUCUUAAGAUGAAUGGACUAAGAUGCUCUGGAUAAGAAUGUCUGCUAAAUGAAUAAAAUGUCAUGUAAUUGUAAAUGAUAAAACAUGAGUAUUGCUUGCUACAAUAUACUGUAGUUGUAUGUGAAGAUGUGUAAUGCUUUAUGAGUAUAGUAAAGUUGUACAACGCUGUGUGGAGCUGUAUGAGUGGUUCUGUUAGUGCAGGGUGUGCUCACUCUUGUGUGAAGGAGGUUUUUGUACGGCGUCUUAACUAGACUGUAUCACUGUGGUUCACGUUCGGUGGAGGGACCAAACUGCUGCUGAGAACUGGUCCUACUGUCAGUCCCACAGUGUCUCUGCUCCCCCCCUCCUCUGAGCAGCUCUCUGGGGGCUCUGCCUCACUGGCCUGCCUGCUGACUGACUACUCCCCUCAGGGGGCGCUGGUGAGCUGGGAGGUGGACGGGCUGGAGGUGAGACAGGGGGUCGUGACCAGUCCAGAAGAAGAGAAGGAAGGCCUU